rnacentral:rRNA from 1 species
CACAAUAAAUAAUAAUUCAAAUCAAGGUGUAGCCAAUACGUAAAGAACCAAUUAGUUACUUUCUUUCAAAGUACUAUAUUUAAAAAAGCAAAAUAUUAAAUCUAGACGGAUUUAUUAGUAAACAAGAAUUAGUUAAUCUUUUUGACCAAACUAUAAUAAUGUGUACAUACCGCCCGUCGCUCGCGGGA